rnacentral:misc_RNA from 1 species
CAGAGUUGCAAGACUCCCUAAACCAUUGUGAACCUUACCUCUACCGUUGCUUCGGCGGGCGGCCCCGGGUCGCCCCCCCCUGGCCCCAUCGCGGGCGCCCGCCGGAGGUCUACCCAAACUCUUGAUACUUAGUGGCCUCUCUGAGUCUUCUGUACUGAAUAAGUCA